AUGGAAGGUGCAGCAGGUUUCAUGCCAGCUAACAUCAAUAGCACCUUAAUUUCGUAUAUUGAUUCUGACAGCGAUGGUUAUCAAACUCCUCCUGAAAGUCCAGGUUUAGUUCCUGAGGAGUAUGUUUUUGCACAUACUGACCUUGAUGCUACCGGUCAGCCUCCUACUGAGCCAUCAAGCACCAUCGAUGAUGAAAUAAGUACAGAAAAGAUCAACUUUGCUCUAAACGCUGGCUGCAGCAAAAUCCCUGCUAAAGGUUCAGAAGAGUCCACCAGUGCCGCUCCAAUCUUUCUAUCAUCCACCAGCACUGUAACUUCUAACAUCUCACUCAUGAAGGGACACCAUCUUAGCAGUGAUGCUGACAGGAGGCAUCACUCUGUCACUCAACCCCACCUACAGAAGCAUGAAUGCUACGUGUCUGAAAAGCCAGUAAACUCAGCUAAGAAAACUGAGGUUGCAUCAAAGGCGAACAGCAUGUCCACAACCUUCUCUACUUCAGGUUCUCUGCAUAGUCUUCUUUCCAGCUCAGCCCUGAGUCCUGCUGAAGAGCCCUCCAGUCAGAUCACGGAUACUACAGCUGUUCAGAUAGGCUCCUCCUCUAAAACCAAACUUGCAGACGUCCAGUCUGUUCACAAUAUCGACAUUGUCACUGCUCUUCCAGCCACAUCUGAUCACAGGAUCCCUACCACUGGAUGUUCUUCUCACAGCCAGCAGGAGAGCACAGAUCAUAACACCAGUCCUGGCUGGGUUUCACCAUCCUUGGGUGAAGUUUCUGGUGACUCAGUCCCAAAAGAUGAAUCUGGUUCUGCUUUGAAUCCUCAGCACAGUCCUGUUCCUCCAGAGAUUACAGAAUUUUCCAGCUUCUCUCUCGAUCAUCAUGACUUGGAGGGAGUUUCUGUAUCUGCAGAUACUUCCUUGACCAGCACUGAUGUCACUGACUCAGUCCAGCCCAUCCUUGCUACCGUUGAGCCAGUUUGUCUUGGCUCUGAACUCGUCCAGCUCCAGGAUGAGUCAGUCUCAUCUCCGCUAAGCAUCCACAUAUCUAACCUAGAAACUUGCACCUCUUUUGGUUCUUCAAACACCACAGGGAUUGCUCCUAAUGAUGACUUAAGGAUGAGGUACACACACAUGGACAGACUUGAACAUUCCAGGCAGGCACCUGACCUUGCAGAAGUAGCUCAAACAGAGCAAGUCAGCAAGGUUUCUCUCAACACUGAUUCCAUUUCUGCCACCACAGAUCACAUCAAUAUCUAUCCAGACAUCUCUUAUCACACUCGCACUUCUGUAACUCAACUCCAGAAAGACAGGAUAGAUGCCCAAAUAUAUUUGGCAGCAGAUGAAAGCCAUGAAGAACCACAGAUAUUCAUUCAAAAGCAUGAUGGUAAUGAACCUGUGACACUUGGAAAUGACUUUGAGUCAAUUAAUAGUCAUUUACACUUACAUAACAAGAGACGGGCACUAGAAAGUGGCUUUGAUAACUUGAUGAAGGUGGUUUCAGAUGGGUGUGAGGUUCAGCUGAGCUCAGCAGGGGAUGGGAUAGUGGAGGAACGUGCAAGCAACGAAGCAGCAGAGGUAAAAUGGGAAGCUGAGGAGAUGCUGGGAUCUUUUCACACAAGAAUAAACGAUCAGAGAACAGAAUCGCAUCAAUACGCAGAAGCUCAGGGCCAGUCAGGCAGAGAGAGAGAGGUAGCCGCAGGUGAAGUCGCCUGGCAACUUUCGGAUCUAGCUAUCAUGAAACCGGUCGUGCCAGUUCAGCGAGAGCGUGUGCCUGAGGAAUGCACAGUGGCCCAUCCCUGCGGUCUGCACGAGGAGGCGUCAAUCACAGACUGCAACCUGGAAACUCGCUCUCACCUGGGGGCAGGGUACAGCCCCUCCCUGACCACGCUGUCUGCCUGUGCGAUAACACUGCAGGAGGACGCUGCUCGGGGUGGGGCUAGUCUCCACACUGACAGAGAGGAUAGCAGUAUAAAAGAGCAGAGAGGGACCUACACACACCUGAAACCCAGCUCAGGUGAAGAGGACCCAUCUGAGACGCCACACGGUCGGGCUAGUCGGUACAGACCACACGUGUUUCCUGCACAUGAGACUAACGACAGCCAGGAUACAAACAAAUCUACGGUCACCAGCAGUGCGGCCAGAAGAUCAGAGGAUCCACAGCACCAACACAGAGCAGGUGAUCUCAGCCUCCAUCCAGGGGCUGCAGCCAACAGCACCGCAGAUACAUCCAGGACUUUCACUGAGAGAAGCACAACUACUGCAGGAGUCAUUGUUUACAUCAGGGGGUUUGGAGAGAAGGAAGAAUAUCACUCUACAAGAACCAGCGCCCUCACUGACCAGCUGCCUGCGCCGCGCCACACUUCAGCUGGACGGUGA
ensembl:lncRNA